ACUUGGUGGAGACAAGAAACCACAAAAAAAAACAGGGAGUAACCGAAAAUCCAUAAGAGUAGGAUUUAA
rfam:Bacteroidetes bacterium GWF2_33_16 gwf2_scaffold_2, whole genome shotgun sequence.